GACGGAGGUGGCAAACGUUGCUCGGAAUCACUGGGCUUAAAGGGCGUGUAGGCGGUCCAUCAAGUCGGGUGUGAAAUCCCUCGGCGCAACCGAGGAACCGCAUUCGAAACUGAUGGGCUGGAGUGCGGGAGGGGUAAGUGGAACUCCAGGUGUAGCGGUGAAAUGCGUAGAUAUCUGGAGGAACGCCGGUGGCGAAAGCGACUUACUGGCCCGUAACUGACGCUGAGGCGCGAAAGCUAGGGGAGCAAACAGG
rnacentral:rRNA from 1 species